GGGGGGAUAACUCAGCAUUAAAGCACUGGUCUUGCAAGCCUGAGGCCCCAGGUACAAUUCCUGGCGCUUCCA
rnacentral:tRNA from 1 species